rnacentral:misc_RNA from 1 species
AAGGAGUCUAACAUGCUUGCGAGUGUUUGGGUGUCAAACCCAUACGCGUAAUGAAAGUGAACGGAGGUGGGAUCCCUCGGGAGCACCAUCGACCGAUCCGGAUUUUUAAUGAAGGGUUUGAGUAAGAGCACGUAUGUUGGGACCCGAAAGAUGGUGAACUAUGCCUGAAUAGGGUGAAGCCAGAGGAAACUCUGGUGGAGGCUCGUAGCGGUUCUGACGUGCAAAUCGAUCGUCAAAUUUGGGUAUAGGGGCGAAAGACUAAUCGAACCAUCUAGUAGCUGGUUCCUGC